GACGAACGCUGGCGGCGUGCUUAACACAUGCAAGUCGAACGAUGAUCUGGAGCUUGCUCCAGGGAUUAGUGGCGAACGGGUGAGUAACACGUGAGUAACCUGCCCUCCACUCUGGGAUAAGCACUGGAAACGGUGUCUAAUACCGGAUACGAGCUUCAGCCGCAUGGCUAGGAGUUGGAAAGAAUUUUGGUGGAGGAUGGACUCGCGGCCUAUCAGGUAGUUGGUGAGGUAAUGGCUCACCAAGCCGACGACGGGUAGCCGGCCUGAGAGGGUGACCGGCCACACUGGGACUGAGACACGGCCCAGACUCCUACGGGAGGCAGCAGUGGGGAAUAUUGCACAAUGGGCGAAAGCCUGAUGCAGCAACGCCGCGUGAGGGAUGACGGCCUUCGGGUUGUAAACCUCUUUUAGUAGGGAAGAAGCGAAAGUGACGGUACCUGCAGAAAAAGCACCGGCUAACUACGUGCCAGCAGCCGCGGUAAUACGUAGGGUGCAAGCGUUGUC
rnacentral:rRNA from 1 species